AUUACACGAUACAAGCGCGGGGUCAAUGACGUAGGUAUAUCCCGAGUUGCUGGUAUCGUAUUUUCUUUAGCAUUCCGGCUUCUAUAAUUUAAAAAGAAUCAAUAUGAAUAUGUACACAAAUUGAUAGUUUCUAGCUACAAAAGACGUCAAUAGGCAGUUAAAACUGAAUUCAUCAGGGUUGGUUGGUUUUUUUUUUUUUAUUUAUGGAGAGAAUUUGUGCUAAAGACUGGUGUGUAUUUUUUUUAAUUUUGUUGUCGACAUUUUGACGAUAAUUGAUUAGGUACAAAUCCUUUACCUGCUUGGUUGUUCUGAAAUCACCUUGCGUGCUAGCAAGCCUCCGUAAAUGAAUUUAAAACUUCGUUUAAAAAAAAAAUCUAAAUCAAGGAAUACAAAGGUUCGUAUAUCUUAACUGAAAGGAGAUAUUUAUUUUUUCUGUUUGACAGGGCUGGGCCUAAAUUCGGAGUUGUGUUUUUUUUUUUUUAAUUUUGGUUAUAACGAGACCAUACCGAAUCUUGUUUUUGCUAUUGAUUUCGCAAGACACCGAGAGAAACGCGACAC
rnacentral:sRNA from 1 species